ensembl:lncRNA
UUUAGGGAACACGGCAGUAAAGGGGUGUUACCAAAGAAUUCUAUUAGAAGCGGGUGUAACCCACAGCGAUAUGAACCGUGUUCUCAGUUCUCUCUGGUUUAAGUAGGAGGAAAAACAGUCGUCUCUGUUGCUUCAUCUUGCAGUAACCUGCUUUUUUCAGGUCAUUCGGCUCUUAGGAGGUAACUUACAAAGGGUGGACGAGAGUCCUGGGAAUGUUGGAGGUGCAGGUAGAGCGGGACCCCAAGACAGGCGCCACCAUUGUUAGGUCAGUGGCUCCUGUGUCCACACCAGCUGGUGCUCCAAAGGCUACCACUGUCUUUGACGACGGCAGGAGGAGCAUCCACACUAUCAGUGGGUCAGCAGAUCAACCCUCGUCUGAAGAGCUCGGGCAUAUCUUGAGCGUCAUCGACGGGGUUGGGAUGAAAGUGCUGCUGAAUGAAGUUACAGUCACACCAACCAAGACAGAGACAGAGACAGUAGAAGCUAGCAAAGGCUCAGAGAAAAAAGGCCUGUCGCUUUACACCCAUCCCAGCACGUCAAAGGAAGACUACAGGCCGUUCGGCGGUUCUAGAAGCGAUGAUUUAGAAGUUGAGCUGAGCAGUGAGAAGUGUGUUGUAAGUGUGGGAAACACAGAUGAUAAAAACACGAUGGCAGUGAGAGACACUUUGGAAAAAGUAGAUAUCGUGGAGAAUCAGAUGUUGGAGGAAAGUCCUGUCACACUUGUGUUCUUGGGAUACGCUGAUGCUACAACUGACCAGAGUCAGAGCCAAGAGGAGCAGGAAGGCAUGAUCACUGUGGAACGAGUGAUAAUCACGGAGGAUGGAGAAGAGCAUGUCUUAGGACCUGAAAUGCCUCCUCCACUUUAUUCACCAUUAGACCAGGUAGCAGAGCAAGGCACCGGGAAAGAGUCCAAAGAUGAAGCAGUUCAGGAUAUUCCCUCGGGUGGAAACGGAGCUGGAGUCAAUGUGCAGGCAGAGGAAGGUGAUAAAGAGUCACAUAAUGCAUCUCCACCAGGCAUAACAGAGGGAAAAGGCAGUUCUAAGCACAGGAGCUGCCGGUGUUGCUCUGUCAUGUAAGAAAUGGUUGAAGAAAGACUCCCUGUAUACCAUGUAUACACUGCUUCCUUUAUAUGUUGCUUUAUAUGAGUGGGUUUAAUAGCAUACUACACCAUCACCCACCAUUCCACCUCCCCUUGAUAAUAAAAAUGGCAUUUAUAUAUUUGUGCAUCUUCUACAAAGCUCUACAAAGUGCACUAAAGUCCACUUCCACCCCCUACUGGACAGAAAUAAGAACUUCAAGCAAGCAAGCUUAUCCAACAGAAAAAAUCCACACUAAUUGUUUAGCCAUGGUUCCUGUAGAAAUGGGGGAAAAAAGUAUGCCAUCCUUUAGCAUGCACAUCCUAAUGCUUAUGGUGUCCCUCACUGUUUCUGGUAUUAAAAAUGCAACUGAGGGCUGAGAUUUUGAGUGUUUCUGAGUUUUGAUGCAUCACCUUUACACGUUGAGUUUCUUAAGACGGAUUCAGAGUCACCAUUUCUGUGUAAAAAUCCAAGCAUUAACAUUUUGAGAAAUUAUCUCACUCUUGCUCAGAGUUACAUGAGAAACAUUAAACUUUUCUAAUGUCUGUGCAGUUACUGUGAAGCUAAAACCAGCAUCUGGUUACUGCUGCGCUCGGGCUGACAUGGCAACAAGACAUUUUUAUCUCUCAGUUUCUGUACUGAUUAGGCAAACACUGAUUAGGUGUUAAUUAGAAGUUCUGGCUGGCAGAUUUUUUUUAAACCUCCUGGCAGUUGGGCUUGUUGGUUUCACGUUCAUGCCAAGUUAAUAAAAUUGGUUUGUAGAAUUUGUUUAAUAUUUUUCAGUGCCACUUAUCGUCUCAUCUAAUUCUUGGGGAAAGAAAGUAAAUAGCAUACCGCCCACCUUCUUGAACUAUGCCUUCACUAUUUUAGACCUGAUAUAUACAUUAAAAAAUACUUCUAGAAUUGUUUGAAACACUUGAAAAACCCUAUUGGCAAUACAAGAAGAACAAUAUGUUCUUCCUGUAUAUUCACUGUAGAAAAUCUGGAAAUCACUGUCUUUUUCUGACCUUUGUGUAAUUUUUUUUCUCACUGAAUUUAGAUAUAAAACUGAUUUAUGGCAGUGGAUGUUAAAUGGGAUAUGUUGUAAUAUGACAGAUUCCAGUUGGUGUAUUGAUUGAGUUUUACAAUUAGAUUUGAGAUGUACUCACAAUUUCACACUAAAGCAGCAAACAUGCAGACCUUCUGUAUUUGCUUCUGUAUCAUGCACUGAAAUACAUAAAAGAAUUGAGAUUUUCCAGCACAUUUUUUUGACUUUAAAUUCUCAAUUUAAAUUCACGUGACAUCUUUGUAUUUCUAAGAUUUCCUUUAUUUAAGGUGUUUAGGUGUGUAAAAACAGUAAUUAUACCAACAAAAAAUACUGACCACUGCUGUAGUACAAUUAACCAGCAAAUGGGUUUAUCAUAUGAAGAUAUCCUGUUAAUUUGAGAUGAUUAUGUUAUAUAAGCUGUUAAAUGUAACUUUACAUCAAAAUCUUGAAUAAACAACAGAUCUUCAAGUUUAAAGAAGGUAAACCCACAUAUUAAAUGACUGGAUUUAUCUUUAUUUAACACCAUAAAGUAUGUAAUUGUAAUAUACUGUUAAUUUAUGAUCAUAUUAAGUUUAAUAUGAUUCUUUAUAAAUAACUUAAGAUUGAAAUAUGAAAUGUUUCACAAAAGUUUAAUGUAAAAAAAAUUAAAUUCCUGGAUUUAAGUUGUAAAAAACAAUUUUAAAAUGGUUAACCUUGAAUAUAAUAUUAUUAUUAUAAUUAAAACAAGCUGCUGUCAUAUGUAAUGUGUUUUUUCCC